GCCGUAAACCCAAGGUUUCCAGGGGAAGGUUCGUCCGCCCUGGGUUAGUCGGGACCUAAGCUGAGGCCGAAAGGCGUAGGGGAUGGACAACAGGUUGAUAUUCCUGUACUACCGAUAACCGUUUGAGGGAUGGGAUGACACAGUAGGAUAAGCUAAGCACACUGUUGGUUAUGUGUGCCCAAGCAUUGAGGCAGUCAGAGUAGGUAAA
rnacentral:rRNA from 1 species